rnacentral:rRNA from 1 species
UACAGAGGGUGCGAGCGUUAAUCGGAAUUACUGGGCGUAAAGCGCACGUAGGCGGCUUGGUAUGUCGGGUGUGAAAUCCCCGGGCUCAACCUGGGAACUGCAUCCGAAACUGCCUUGCUAGAGUAUGGGAGAGGGAAGUGGAAUUCCGGGUGUAGCGGUGAAAUGCGUAGAUAUCGGAAGGAACAUCAGUGGCGAAAGCGACUUCCUGGACCAAUACUGACGCUCAUGUGCGAAAGCGUGGGGAGCAAACAGG